GGUGGCUCAGUGGUAGAGUGCUUGCCUUGCAUGCAGGAGGCCCUGGGUUCGAUUCCUUAGCACCA
rfam:Dipodomys ordii contig_22830, whole genome shotgun sequence.